rnacentral:rRNA from 1 species
AGAGUGAACGCUGGCGGCAGGCCUAAAACAUGCAAGUCGAGCGGCAGCACAGCAGUAGCAAUACUGUGGGUGGCGAGCGGCGGACGGGUGAGGAAUACAUCGGAAUCUACCCAGUCGUGGGGGAUAACGUAGGGAAACUUACGCUAAUACCGCAUACGACCUGAGGGUGAAAGCAGGGGAUCGACAAGACCGUUGCGCGAUUGGGUGAGCCGAUGUCCGAUUAGCUAGUUGGUGAGGUAAAGCUACACAAGGCGGCGAUCGGUAGCUGGUCUGAGAGGAUGAUCAGCCACACUGGAACUGACGACGACGGUCAGACUCGUACGGGAGCAGGACAGGU